UGGAAAUGACUAUUGGGACUAUGUAAAC
rnacentral:sRNA from 1 species